rnacentral:lncRNA from 1 species
ACCCGGCCAUGGAACAGUUUCCUGAUCCUAUUUGAAAAGCCUGCUUGAUAUCUGUGGGCAUUUCUCUAAUUUCAAAUCUCAGUUGUAAGGACUACCCUUGAUGGAAAUGAACAGCAGGGAAAAGAUGAAAAGGCCACAACUAAUCUAGUGUCUCGUCCAUCGAAGUCGAGUUUGGGUGCUGGAGUGAAGCCUCAUUUUCUGAGAUGGAAGGCAAGACGGGUGGUCUUGAUGUCUUCUGGAGCUUAACAGAGCAUGGUCCUGGUAGGGUCCAACAAUUGGAUGACAACACAUGAAUGGUGUUUCGCAACAGAGGGGUUCUGGAUGUCUCAGACUUGGGGAUCUACCUGUGAUGCUGUCCAUGUUUGGCUAGAAUACCACCUGUGGGAUUAUAAUUCCAUUGAGGAUCCAGAUCAGGUACUGUCUCCAUUCCAAUUGGAUAUGCUCUAUCUGUUUGAUGAAUCUCAUCUGCAUGCACUCUUGCUUGUUCCCCAACUCACCAGCGUUC